UUGUUACCUGGAGUUUCCUCAAUACACUUCACAGCUGCUGGGACCUACUACAUUUGCACAAUGUGGGGUCCACCAUGGGUAGUGAAGUGUUUGGGGGAACUCUAGGUGGCAC
rnacentral:pre_miRNA from 1 species